rnacentral:lncRNA from 1 species
GAGGUGGGGAAUUCAAAGGAAGAGAUAGAGUUAUAGAGAAACAACCACAACACAGCAAGCCCGGCAAGAAACAUGGUUACUUGCAUAACACUUCUCACCCAAAAGUGGCUACCAGAACUCCAUGCCUUAAUGCCGUCGCCAGCGGCGCCCCGCCGGAGGUAUCCUUCAUUGUUUUGAUCGAAGAGCUGAAUUGGAGUGGCAGAAAUAG